CUUUAACAAUCCGGAACAAGCUGAAUAAUUUGAAAUUGAAUGACCCUUAUGGGGUUAUUCAACGAGUCUCUCAAAUGCAAGCAAUCUGAAGCGGAAACGCCUUCGG
rnacentral:sRNA from 1 species